rnacentral:sRNA from 2 species
UCAAUGGAUCGCUAGGGUUCCGGUCGGCAACGCCGAUGCCUGGUCCGAGAGCGGUCGACCUUCGCCCGGCGCGCCGGGGAGGUUACACGGCGGGACAAAAGCCCGGGAGGA